AGCGGCCCUGCCCAGGUCCCGGUUACCAGAGUAGUUUCUGUUUCAUUGCAGAAUGUGGAGGAAAUGAGACCCAUCUCUAGAAUUCCAAAGAGGAAAUCUGAAUUGUCAGAAAAAAAGAAGCUGCCAGGAGGUAGACCUGCUAUUCUCCUGGGCUAACUGAUGAGGACUGCCUCCUGCUCCCUGGUGCUCAAGCCCAGGCUGCCUGGGCCACAGCCCUGCAGGGACAUUGUGGGGACAUGCUGGUCCAGGCAUCUGGACUCCCAUGAGCUUCAUGGAGGGAGACAGCACAGGGGUGGAGGCUGGCAGAAGCACCCACCCCUCCUGCCUCUAAGGGAGCCAGCUGUCAGCCUGGCCUGGGGUCAGGAAGCCACUGGAAUAAGCAGGGUUGGACUCAGUGUCCCAUGGGGAGCUGUCAAGCCACAGAGGGACAGCUGCACCGAGAACGUGCCUCCCUGCAGGUUGACAUGGGGGACACAGCUGGGCAGGAAGGACAGAAGGACAACUCUGACUUGGGUGGGCUGGGCUGUUGCCUAGACCCUCUGUGGUUCAAGGUGAUGAGCUGGGCGGCAGAUGGGUGACUGGGGAUCGGUGACCUGACUUCUUGGGAUCUGUGCUCCCAAGGGACAUCUGCCCAGCCAUGGAAUACUGCCCUCCCCAUGAUAUCUGAACAGGUUCAGUCGAAGUUUGUGGCUGGGAAGAAAAAAAAGGCUAUGAAUCCUUAAAAAUCACCGUGUCCCUGGCCCCAAAGCGGCCAUCUGCAAUGGAGAAGACACAAUGGGGACAGCAGCUCUUGGCCCAUUUCCUACUCUGGGUUCCCAUGGGCUACUCUGCUUGAGCCUCUCAUGAUGUGGUGAUGUCAGAGAGAGGUGACAUCACCACAUCAUGGUGACAUCACCACCAUGAACCCCACUUUAUAGGUGAAGAAACUGAAGCACAGAGAAGUCAGGUAACCGGUCCCCAGUCCCCCAGCUCAUACCUGGUAGAGGCGGGAUUUGAACCCAAGGAGCCCAUGCGCUUUCUGAAUCCUUGCCAUUUGUGAAAGGAAAAGGUAACCAAAGCGUCCAGCUCAGAGGCUGACUCUUCCAAACUCCUCUUCUUCCCUUUUUCUAAAACAAAAACUAUUCUCCAGACAGAAACCAGGUGAGGUAUUGGGCUCAGCUCAGGUGUGGCCUCCACCAGGUGUUCCCAUUUGGGGGCCUUUAUUUGUGCUUCUGUGGCAUCCUCAGCUCACCUCCAUCAGCCCACGUGCCAUGUCCCUUUCCCUGAGGCCCCGCCCACCACCGUUCUGCUUUCUGGCCCUCGGGCUCUGCCUCUGAGGGGUAUGUCAUAUAAAUGGACUCAUGGUCGAGCAGUGUGUGGCCUUUGUAUCUGACGUCCUUCAUUCAGCUGAAUGUGCUUCAGGUCCGUCC
rnacentral:lncRNA from 1 species